UACAGAGGUCCCAAGCGUUGUUCGGAUUUACUGGGCGUAAAGGGUGCGUAGGCGGUCGGGUAAGUCUGAUGUGAAAUCUCCGAGCUUAACUCGGAAAUGGCAUUGGAUACUAUUCGGCUGGAGAGUUGGAGGGGGGACUGGAAUACUUGGUGUAGCAGUGAAAUGCGUAGAUAUCAAGUGGAACACCAGUGGCGAAGGCGGCUCUCUGGAACGCAACUGACGCUGAGACGCGAAAGCGUGGGGAGCAAACAGG
rnacentral:rRNA from 1 species